rnacentral:rRNA from 1 species
UACGUAGGGUGCGAGCGUUAAUCGGAAUUACUGGGCGUAAAGUGUGCGCAGGCGGCGCCGCAAGUCGAGUGUGAAAGCCACGAGCUUAACUUGGGAAUUGCGCUCGAAACUAUGGUGCUGGAGUGUGGCAGAGGAAGGUGGAAUUCCACGUGUAGCGGUGAAAUGCGUAGAGAUGUGGAGGAACACCGAUGGCGAAGGCAGCCUUCUGGGCCAACACUGACGCUCAUACACGAAAGCGUGGGGAGCAAACAGG